CCGGCGCACGGGUGAGUAACACGUAUGCAACCUGCCUGCCACAGCCGGAUAAUCGGGAGAAAUUCCGUCUAAUACGGCAUAAUGCAUCGACGGGACAUCCUGUUGGUGCCAAAGGUUAAUUCCGGUGGCGGAUGGGCAUGCGUCGCAUUAGUUAGUUGGCGGUGUAACGGCCCACCUAACCGACGAUGCGUAGGGGUUCUGAGAGGAAGGUCCCCCACACUGGUACUGAGACACGGACCAGACUCCUACGGGAGGCAGCAG
rnacentral:rRNA from 1 species